CAGAGUGGAUCCCCAUCCUCACAAAAUUAUGGUGCCAACCAGGGUGGAUCCUUCUCACAAAAUUAUGGUGGUGGCCAGGGUGGAUCAUCCUCCUCAGACACCUAUGAUGAUAGUCAGGAUUCACAAGAUUUCUCAGAUGACAAUCCCAAUGCUUGUGAUGAUAGCGACACUACCUAUAGUGCCAACAGUCAGAGUUCUGGUUGUGCAAAGAAGAAGGUUCUUGUUGCCCGAG